rnacentral:rRNA from 1 species
AUUGAACGCUGGCGGCAGGCCUAACACAUGCAAGUCGAACGAGUGGCGGACGGGUGAGUAAUGGCUUGGCAACUGCCUGAUGGAGGGGGAUAACGAGUGGAAAAGGUAGCUAAUACCGCAUACCCUCGGAUCUGCCCAGUGGGGAUUAGCUAGUAGGUGGGGUAAAGGCUCACCUAGGCGACGAUCCCUAGCUGGUCUGAGAGGAUGACCAGCCACACUGGAACUGAGACACGGUCCAGACCCCUACGGGAGGCAGCAGUGGGGAAUAUUGCACAAUGGGCGAAAGCCUGAUGCAGCAAUGCCGCGUGUAUGAAGAAGGCCUUCGGGUGGUAAAGUACUUUCAGCGGGGAGGCGUUACCUGCAGAAGAAGCAACGGCUAACUCCGUGCCAGCAGCCGCGGUAAUUC